GUAAGAGGUUGGGAUUUUAACCUGGGUAUUAUGGACGGUGGAUGGAUGAGGUGGUUAUCGCCGGGGGGGAAGCGUGAGGGUUAAUCUUCGGCGACGGUGAGACUUUGUAAGUGCAAGUUGUGAGUGGCUAUUGUCUUGACGAUGGCUUUUUGUUAUGUUGAACUUGGACUUUUCCCACACGAACAGGAAUAUUCAAUAAAUAUUGCGUACUGCGGUCAUUUUUACGGAACUGGGGAAGAACUUUUCGAGACGAUUACGGAGAAGACACGUCGAUUGUGACGGUUGUGGAUGAGGAAAUCGUUAAUGGUGUUUGGUCGAGGACAAUGGAUUGUUGACAACGUAGAAAUAUGAAGGGGCUGGAGAAAGUUGUAGGAUGUUAAGAAGCUUUUGUAUUUUUUUCUGAUUAUUUUUAUCCUUUUUGGACAGGGAAGUUAAUUUUAUAUGAAAAUUAAGUGGGACUCCAGUCGUCAGGUCCUCAUAAGCGGAUGAAUACCACGGCUUCCGCAGGCCCAAGGGAAGAUGCUCGACGUCUCAAGACCUCCUCACAAUUCAUGUCCGACGAAUUUUCACUGUCAUUCCACCAUUGGGACUCGCCGCUUCCAAAUAGAAUGAAAAUCAAAUUCGCAAGGAAGUAGAUUCCCGCCGACAUAUAGAAGACAAUCGCCCACUGGGCAGCAUUUUUCUGCAAGAAAAAAUGUUCGAUAAAAUAUUCGGCUCAAAAUUCCACCACAGACUACAUUUAACUCCUAGAAUACUCCUCCACAAUGACAGUAAAAUCCCAUCAAUAUCUUUACCGAUUCCGUAACGAUCUUCCCAACAACCAGAGGUGCCAGUAGAGAAACGACUGAUGCUGCUGAGUUUGUAAUCGAUGCAAGUAGUCCAGCAUAUUUGAGACUCAAAUCCAUAUGAUUUAUUUGGAAUCCGCAGAUAGCUCCUAUAUUGAGGGCGACUGCAAGGACCAACAGGACCACUGGGACUGUAGUGUCACCAGGUGAAACAAAGCAAAUACCAACGAGGGCAAGUGCAGGUCCCCAAUGACCAAUACUAUUGCACACUUUACGUGAUACUCCUCGGGAUACUCCUUUCCUCUCGCUCCAAUCUGACAACCAACUCACUGGGAACGUGAGGAUCAGCAGAGCUACGUAUGGAAGAGCUGAGGCGAUUCCAUUCUGUCGUUGGAAAAAAUUAUUCACUAUUAUAAAGUGGUAAAUAGUAAUCAAUCGACUACGAGGAGGAAAGGCUCAAUAAAAAUUAUGUGAAGGUUCGAUAAAUUGAAAGUGAGAACAAAAGGGCGUCCUGUACAUAAUUAAUCGGUAAUCCCUU